rnacentral:tRNA from 1 species
GAAGGGAUAGCUCAGUGGUAGAGUGUGUGCUUAGCAAGCAUGAGGUCCUGGGUUCAAUCUCCAGUAACUCCA